GACGAACGCUGGCGGCGUGCUUAACACAUGCAAGUCGAACGGAAAGGCCCUGCUUGCAGGGUACUCGAGUGGCGAACGGUGAGUAACACGUGGGUGAUCUGCCCUGCACUUCGGGAUAAGCCUGGGAAACUGGGUCUAAUACCGGAUAGGAGCCAUUUUUAGUGUGAUGGUUGGAAAGUUUUUUCGGUGUAGGAUGAGCUCGCGGCCUAUCAGCUUGUUGGUGGGGUAUGGCCUACCAAGGCGGCGACGGGUAGCCGGCCUGAGAGGGUGGACGGCCACAUUGGGACUGAGAUACGGCCCAGACUCCUACGGGAGGCAGCAGUGGGGAAUAUUGCACAAUGGGCGCAAGCCUGAUGCAGCGACGCCGCGUGGGGGAUGA
rnacentral:rRNA from 1 species